CCUACGGGUGGCAGCAGUGGGGGAUAUUGCACAAUGGGGGGAACCCUGAUGCAGCGACGCCGCGUGGGUGAAGAAGUACUUCGGUAUGUAAAGCCCUAUCAGCAGGGAAGAAAAUGACAGUACCUGACCAAGAAGCCCCGGCUAACUACGUGCCAGCAGCCGCUGUAAUACGUAGGGGGCAAGCGUUAUCCGGAUUUACUGGGUGUAAAGGGAGCGUAGGCGGUAUUGGAAGUCUGUAGUGAAAGCCCAGGGCCCAACCCCGGGACUGCAUUUGAAACUGUGUUACUGGAGUACCGGAGAGGCAAGCGGAAUUCCUGGUGUAGCGGUGAAAUGCGUAGAUAUCAGGAGGAACACCGGCGGCGAAGGCGGCCUACUGGACGGAAACUGACGUUGAGGCUCGAAAGCGUGGGGAGCAAACAGGAUUAGAUACCCGUGUAGUC
rnacentral:rRNA from 1 species